UAACCCUAAAAUUAGUAGCCAUUUAUGAUUUAAAAAUCAAUCCCUAAAAAAAAUUGUCUCACCCUCUCCGAGCGCCGUUCAACAAUUAGGCCGUUCAAAGGCCUUCCGCCCUUCGCCCGCCUCCGAUUGCGAUGUAGCGAACAAAGGUUCGACUACCAGGUACAACCUCGGAGGGGCGCACGUGCGCGGAGGCGCAACAUGCGCGGGGGGCCUAGGUUCGGCUGCGGCGCAAAGGCAGAAAGCUACUAUUGCUGCUAAGGUUUCUGUUUCGUGGUCUAGGGCUAGGCAUUGGGCCUCUGUAAUUGGGCAACUAUUUAUUUGGUUAAGGAUUUAGAUUGGGUCUUAGUGUAUUUUGUAAUCGGGAUUGGGUUUGGGCUGGCAAUUGGACUGUAUUUGAACUUUGAAUUUUUAUUUGGUAUUUGGUUUUAUUUAUUUACAUAGGGGCCAGGUAAAUUGGGCCAAUUAUAGCUGCCCCUCUUUGUUCGUUGUCGUGUAACGGGAACGGAGCAAAGAAUUUAGAAAUGGCCAAUUUUUAUUUCUUUUCGUACCCCCCAUUUACAAAUUUUCAAUGGCUUUUUAUAGCCAAAAUGAAACAAGAAAAUAACAUAAAAAGAAAUCUAUUCUGUUA